rnacentral:sRNA from 1 species
GUUUAUCAAAUUUUUAGACAAUUCAAAUAAUUAAUACGAUAUAAACCAUUCAAGGAAGGAGUAUAAUAAAAUGACUAAUCUUAAUACGCAACAUCAACCAACAACAUCAAAUAUUAUUAUUUUAUUAUACUCUUUAGGACUCGAACGUUAGUAAGAUUUUACUAAACGCUUUAAGUCCUAUUUCUGCUUGAAUGGGACUUAUAAA